GUGCUCCCUUUGGCAGCACAUAUACUAAAUUGGAGUGAUACAGAGAAAAUUAGCAUGGCCUCUGAGCAAGAAUGACACACAAAUUCAUGAAGCAUUCCAUAUAUAA